UCGGAACAGACGACAGAAAUGCCUGUCGGCCUCCAUGUCUGUCGCGUUGCGGCGUGUCGUACCGCAUCGCGAUUGCUGUGUUGUCGAUGUACGGGCACCUGUAGCCAUCGCAGCCUCCUCGAGUCUCACGCUUCUCCUUCACGGCAAACGAGUUACGGAACCAGAAUGUUGUGGGUAUAAGAACGAGACGAUUCCGUUGUCACGUCGUCGUUGUACUGGGAACUCACCAUCACUUUCUUUUCCACCCUGCCCUUCCUCUGUCUUGUUCCUCUCGGCAUCUGCUCCAACACCAAACCGUACUACAGUGGCGGUCCUUGUGAUGUAGUCCCGGUGACAUCCCAAAAUAGAUGAGGGUGAGAGUCAAGCGUCUCCAGCAAAAUCGAGGAGACGGGCUGCUUGUCCUUUUUGCAACGAGGAAUGACCGAUUCAAGGAGGGGCCAAACCCAGAAGCAGUGCCCAUCUCUUUCCUAUCUGAAUCACUGCGUCAAUCAAACAAACGCCUGGCUUUCAAUUGAUUCGGGACACACCUGUAAGUCUUAAAUCCAUGCAAAGAGGUGGUCCAGUAUUCAUCCAGAACUACAGAAAGGGACACUCGAACAGUGCAAGUGGGGGUGGAGCUGCCAGGUUCCUAUCCAUUCAACUGGUUCUUCCUAUCAAGAAUCAUCUCAAUGGUUUGGUCUCAUCUGCAUCUCUUGAUGUUGCUUGCAGAAUUGCUCCUCGUUCUUGGUCACUGCGAGGUGACAACCCCAUUCCCAAGGGAUGAUUGGGUCCAUGUGCUAAGGAUGAAGAUUGCAGGUGAUCAAUGCCAACCAUGUACACUUGUGGUGUUCUUCCCCUGCAAGUCACUCGAUAUCAUACCAUGUGAGUUGAGCUCCGUGAGAAAAUAUCUAGCAAGCCUCAAUAAUUAGACAAGCAAAACAUGUAAUUGAUGGAGCCUUCAUCACACACACAAAAACAUCUUGCACCUUAGAUCUGCAGAGAGAAAGGAAUUCUUCUUUCAUGUAGAGUAGAGCUCAUCUUCCUGACACAAAAUAGAUUAAUUCCAUGAAUGUUUCUCACAGAGUGAGAUGAACACUUAACUCACUGUUGUGGCAAUAAAGGCUAAUGGCACUUCCAAGGACUAUGUGCUGCAUCAGUAAACCAAUUUGUCAUACAUGGGCAUCUCAAUUUG
rnacentral:lncRNA from 1 species